GCAGUUGUGGCCUAGAGGACCAGGUGAUUGAUUGGAGAUCAAAAGGUUGUCGGUUCAAUCCCCAGCUCCA